CACAGGAAUCUCUGUUGUGGCGCAUGCUAAAUCGGAAACACCCAGGAGAGGGAAUUCUGGGAGACAUACUUCAGCCUAGCCAAGAUAAUCCAUUCCCAUUGACAGCCCUUGAUCAGCAAGCCACUGGCCAGCAUAGGAAAUGUGAAGGAGUCAGGCUGAUAGAACAAGAGAAGGACACCUAACUUGAAGGGAGCUAGACUCGACAGGUCAGCUCUCUGUAGUUCCUGUGGCCACACCGGGAAAGAUGAACUUGACUUAACAUGUCACUCCUCAGGAAAUCAUACAGAGUGGUGUAAAUCAGUCAAAGCUGGCCACCCGAACUGAAAUGCCAUGAAGAAGCAAUCAUGGGACAUGUUUACCGCCACAUGCAAGCCAGAGUUCUGAGGGAGAGAGACCCACUGGAAGACAGUCAGGAGGAAAUAGGAGAAAGUUGAGCUGAUACACUGAGCAGCGGAUAAGCCAUCACAGAAAGGGAUCUGUUUGACUCCAGGACACAACGAUUAUCUGUUCUUGCCCUCUGCAAGGACUGGUGAUUGAACUCAGGACCUUGUGCUUGCAAGGCAGGGCAUCGAACUCAGGACCUUGAGCUUGUGAGGCAGGCUCGGUGCCACUCAGCUAAAUCCCUAGCUGAAAGAGGAUCUUGCUGUGUUCUCCAGGAGUUCCUGGUGUCACCUAAUCUUCCUGCCUCAGCUACCUGAGUAGAUGGGACUACAGGCGUGUACCACGAU
ensembl:lncRNA